rnacentral:rRNA from 1 species
UACAGAGGGUGCGAGCGUUAAUCGGAAUUACUGGGCGUAAAGCGUGCGUAGACGGCUAUCUAAGUCGGGUGUGAAAGCCCCGGGCUCAACCUGGGAAUUGCAUUCGAGACUGAAUAGCUAGGGUGCGGUAGAGGGAAGCGGAAUUUCCGGUGUAGCGGUGAAAUGCGUAGAUAUCUGGAGGAACACCGGUGGCGAAGGCGGCAUCCUGGACCGAUAUUGACACUGAUGCGCGAAAGCCAGGGGAGCAAACGGG